rnacentral:rRNA from 1 species
CAGCAGCCACGGUAAUACGUAGGGUGCAAGCGUUAAUCGGAAUUACUGGGCGUAAAGCGUGCGCAGGCAGUUAUAUAAGACAGAUGUGAAAUCCCCGGGCUCAACCUGGGAACUGCAUUUGUGACUGUAUAGCUAGAGUACGGCAGAGGGGGAUGGAAUUCCGCGUGUAGCAGUGAAAUGCGUAGAUAUGCGGAGGAACACCGAUGGCGAAGGCAAUCCCCUGGGCCUGUACUGACGCUCAUGCACGAAAGCGUGGGGAGCAAACAGGAUUAGAUACCCCUGUAGUCCCUGUCUCUUAUAC